AUGGCCCCGGUCAGCCGCCGGCCCCAGGCAAGGCCUGCAGAUGGUGCUGUGGGCGGCCGGAGGCCACACACCCCACCCCGGAGCGGUGCUCUGAGGUGUCACCGGGAUGGAGACUGGCCUCGGCCUGCACUCCCCCCAUCGCCCUGGGGGCAACGCCUCUCCACGAUGAGCCUGAUCCUCCCUCCUGCGACUGAAAACCCGGAACGCAGCACGACGGACCAGCCACGGGGAGCAUGGAGAGAGGAGGACAGGCUGCUUCGGGACUUUGGCCCCGGAGGAGGGGUCGGCAGUGGCGUCCCCGGAUUUCCUAGGGCCUCCCGAACAUCCCGACAGAGCACUAGAGGAGCCUGGGAGCCAGAACCAUCAGCGCACGUCAGGCAAAACGAUGCUCCAAGGAGACAUUGCUCCCCCCAGAACGAGGUACCAGGAAAAGUGUGGGUGAACAGAACAGAAAACCUUUAUGACGAUACCGUCCUCCAGCCAGCCGAGCUCUGGGGGGCGGGGAGGGGGGCAGCUGCCACUCCCCUGCGGUUUCUGGGGCGCCGAGGGGGAUCCCCACCCCCUCAUGCCACCACGGAGGACACCCUCCACCCCCACCCGGUGGCAUCGGCACAGCCUAUAGACAGUAGGCUCAGUAACAAAGAGCCCCAAACUGGUGGCUUAAAACAACACAAAUGAAUUCUCUUGCCUUCUGGAGCCAGAAGUCCAAAAUCAAGGUGUGGGAAGGGCUGUACUCCCUCGGGAGGGUCCUUCCUGCCUCUUCCAGGUCCUGGGAGCUCCCCACGUCCCUGGGCUGAUGGCCGCCUCCCUCCGGCCUCUGCCUCUGUCUUUACAUGACCAUUUCCCUGUGUGUGUGUGUGUGUGUGUGUGUGUGUGUGUGUGAAUCCACAUCUGUCUUCUUAUAAGGACACUAGUCAUUCCGGGUCGGGCCACCCGGAUUCACACACACACACACACACACACACACACACCUCAACCCAGAGCAGGUGCUUUGGACCUGAGACACAGUAGCCCAAGAACCAGCUGGGCAUCAUUCUGACAAGCAGGGACACAGGCCCACUCUGCCCACACAGGGCCCUCCGACCAUCAGAACCUGGGUCCUCAUCUAGGAAACACAGGUGAGCACCAGCUGUGCGUGGGACUCGGGCUCACAUGUGUGGGACACGAGGGAGGGAAGGGACGUGGUGCAGGCCGUGCCGUGUGGGUGUCCUGGGAUUCCGGGCUGAAACCCUUGUUUUUGUGAGCUGGUGGGGGACAGAGCCGCCCAGCUGGAGUGUGAAUGGGGCGGGGGAUUUGUAGGAUCACGGUGCUCUUCCUGAAGCUCUUUGGUGGUGGGGGGGAGGGUUGAGGGAUCCCAGAUGGGGCACAGAGCUCACGGACGCCGCGCAAAGUGGUUUUCAAAGGGCCAGGGCUGUGGCUCCCGGAGUCAUCUGGCCCGGAGUAAUGUAAACUGCCUUCCCUUCUAGACCUACGGUUUAUUUGUACAGUUUGGGCCGUUUCUGUAAAUGUUUGACCCGUUUGGAAAUCCAAUCCAAAGGGAAAGCAAAUCGGGGCUUUUAUUUUGUGCGGUGGUGUUCUCAUCAGCGGUGCCGACAUUUAACCUGUUGCGACGUAUCAAAUGCUGCGUUCGGCCAGCGAGGGGAGGAGAGGGCCUGUUCUGUCCUGCUCUGUUUUGUCU
rnacentral:lncRNA from 1 species